rnacentral:rRNA from 1 species
CCCUUAGAUGUUCUGGGCCGCACACGCGCUACACUGAAGGAGGCAGCGUGUACUCCUGGAUCGAAAGAUUUGGGUAACCCGCGAAUCUCCUUCGUGCUAGGGAUUGAGGUUUGCAAUUAUCCUUCAUGAACGAGGAAUUCCCAGUAAGUGCAAGUCAUAAGCUUGCGCUGACUACGUCCCUGCCCUUUGUACACACCGCCCGUCGCUACUACCGAUUGAAUGGUUUAGUGAGAACUCGGGACUGGCACUAAGGGGCUGGCAACAGCCUAUUAGAGCCGGGAACUUGCUCAAACUUGAUCAUUUAGAGGAAGUAAAAGUCGUAACA